UCGUAUCUAACAACCUGGCUAAUAGCACGGCAGCUGGAUUAUGGGGAGCUAUUGCACGAGCGCCACGAGGUGACCCGGCCAUCGGCGAAGCAUGUGCUUGCAAAUUAAAAUAGUCCGGUGGAACUACUUUCCAUGGGAUCCCACAACCAUUCAUGGAAUCUUAGUAUCUUACAACCAUUGGAGUUAUUGUAUUGGCACAUUCGCUGAUCCGCACAUCUUGUUAUGAAUACAUGCACAUUAGGUAACCUUGAUCUCCAAGUUUUGCAGUCUUAACUUGAUCUUUCUUGGAGCUUCUUCGUUGAUUGUUCCGUUUUCCGUCGACCUGGACGCCGCCGACGCAACACCAUCGUCACAUCUGAAUUUUUCAUCGAGUUUUACGACGUCAUCGGCCACCGUUGUCGGCGGCAUCAUCUGAUCAGUGCCAGCUACUAACUGGUGAGUUGGAUCUGUCAUUUCCGUCGGCGACGGAUGCACUGCAGAACCAGCCACCGGUGUUGUCCAGCCGCCCAUGUUUUGUGCCAACGCUACCACAACUCAUGAAUGCAUCGACGUCCGGAAGAUCACCGCCUCCAGCACUGCCCUGAAUCUUAAUGUAGUUGAUCUCAAGUUAUAGGGCAGUACAUGUACUAGCAUCCAUCACAACGUGUCCACGCGUUCUACAAAUUUAAUUCCCCUAUAUUACCUUCUUUUGCUAGUAUAUACAAUUCCGUGAAGAUACAAUCUCAUGCACAUAUGCUUCCUUUUCCUAGCUCUGUGGAUGUACGUACAUGCAUACAGGGAACGAACUAACUAAAGAACAUACAUUAUGUUAGGAGAUACUCCUUUCUUCGAAUAUAUACAUACCCUUUUUAUUUAC
rnacentral:lncRNA from 1 species